GAUGAACGCUGGCGGCGUGCCUAAUACAUGCAAGUCGAGCGAACAGACGAGGAGCUUGCUCCUCUGACGUUAGCGGCGGACGGGUGAGUAACACGUGGAUAACCUACCUAUAAGACUGGGAUAACUUCGGGAAACCGGAGCUAAUACCGGAUAAUAUAUUGAACCGCAUGGUUCAAUAGUGAAAGACGGUUUUGCUGUCACUUAUCGAUGGAUCCGCGCCGCAUUAGCUAGUUGGUAAGGUAACGGCUUACCAAGGCAACGAUGCGUAGCCGACCUGAGAGGGUGAUCGGCCACACUGGAACUGAGAAACGGUCCAGACUCCUAGGGGAGGCAGCAGUAGGGAAUCUUCCGCAAUGGGCGAAAGCCUGACGGAGCAACGCCGCGUGAGUGAUGAAGGUCUUCGGAUCGUAAAACUCUGUUAUUAGGGAAGAACAAAUGUGUAAGUAACUAUGCACGUCUUGACGGUACCUAAUCAGAAAGCCACGGCUAACUACGUG
rnacentral:rRNA from 1 species